rnacentral:rRNA from 1 species
AUGGGGUUGCUGCCCCUGGCUGGCAGCGGUGCCUUGGGCAUCAACAAGACGAGACUCAAAGGGCAAGAGGCUGGGAUGUGCCCGGCGAAGCACGCGGCGUGCGCCCCCUGCGCCGCGAACCUGGCCAGCAAGUGCCCGGCGUGCGACGGCGCGUACGAGCGCGACGAGGGGGCGGACCGCUACCUCAUGGCGGUCAGGGUGCCCUGCCCCAACCAGGCGUACGGCUGCGGGAGCUCCAUGGUGUACUGCAUGGCGGGCGACCACCGUCUCGUGUGCCCGCACGCUCCGUGCCGCUGCCCCGAGCCCGGAUGCGGCUUCCUCGGCUCGCCGCCCGCCCUCCGCGGCCACCUCGCUGAGCGCCACCAGUGGCAAGUGACUGACAUCGCCUACGGGUCCGUGCUGGAGGUCCAAAUGCAGCCGGCGGAGCUGGUGCGGCGGCUGCUGCCCGCGGAGGGCGGGGAGCGGCUGUUCCUGCUCGUGGCGAGCGAGCGCGGCGUCAAGGUGGUGCGCGUGAGCGCGGCCGCGGACGAGGAAGGGCCGGCGGCGUCGUGGUACAGGUGCAAGGUGUGGGUGCACGCGUCCGUGGACACGGACACCGGCCACAUGGACGUCCUGAUGCUGGACGCCAAGGUGGGGAGCUGCGCGGUGCCCUCCGUGGAGGCGGCCAUGGGCGCCGGUGGCAGGUGCCUGCCGGUGCCGUCCGACGUGCCGGCGCCGGAAGGGGGAGGGAUCGUCAUCCGUCGCCGCAUCGACAAGGAGGUCAAGGCGAGCAGGAGCCCCCGUACCCGUGGCUGA